ensembl:lncRNA
CCUGAAAGCUAGACUGUGUGAACCUAUCAGCCUUUUCCACAGCCUUUCCCACACUUACUGGUGCCACAAGGUGUGCAACCUGAGGCUCAGGCAUGCUAUCAAUGCCUAACUGAUGCUGUAGGAAUUAACACCCACUCUUCUGGAAAUGCUAGAACAGGUGCUUUUGGUGCUCAAGUCACAUCCUUGGAUUCGCCUUGAACUCCGGUGCAGUCAUGUGGACAGAUACUCUGCAUAAUUGGUGAUUUCUGAUUGCCUGGCUGAAAUUUUUCUCGACGCUGGUUGUAAUCAUUGCCUGAUGGGAACAUUUCAUUCUUCAGCAUGUGUAGUCAUAAUUGUUUUAGAUUUCUAUGUGAAGUUAAUCAACCCUGAAGGAGACCCCCUGGAUGUCACCAUAGAGAGAGAAAAAUGCAACAGCCUAAAACCUGCUAGACUAUGAAGGAUACACUGGAGGUUAUGAUGCUUAUUCUGCCAAGGUGAGUCCAUCACCCACUGCAAUAGAAGAUAAGGCAAA